UACGAAGGGGGCUAGCGUUGUUCGGAAUUACUGGGCGUAAAGGGAGCGUAGGCGGGUUAUCAAGUUGGAGGUGAAAGCCCAGGGCUCAACCUUGGAAUUGCCUUCAAAACUGAUAGCCUAGAGUAUGGAAGAGGUAAGUGGAACUCCGAGUGUAGAGGUGAAAUUCGUAGAUAUUCGGAAGAACACCAGUGGCGAAGGCGACUUACUGGUCCAUGACUGACGCUGAGGCUCGAAAGCGUGGGGAGCAAACAGG
rnacentral:rRNA from 1 species